rnacentral:rRNA from 1 species
UACAGAGGGUGCAAGCGUUGUUCGGAAUUACUGGGCGUAAAGCGCGUGUAGGCGGUUUGGCAAGUCAGACGUGAAAUCCCUCAGCUUAACUGAGGAACUGCAUCUGAUACUGCCUGACUUGAGUGUCGGAGGGGAUGGUGGAAUUCCCGGUGUAGAGGUGAAAUUCGUAGAUAUCGGGAGGAACACCCGUGGCGAAGGCGACCAUCUGGAAGACAACUGACGCUGAGACGCGAAAGCGUGGGUAGCAAACAGG